UCAGGAGGAGGAGGAGGAUCAGGAGGAAGAGAAAGGGGAGAACAGAUCCCCCACUGAGUGCUGGGCGUCCUGGUCAGCUCAAAGGGAGGGGCUUCCUCAGCGGGUGGCCAUACAACCCUUCCUUUGCUGGCCCCUCACCACCGACAUGAUGGAUGUAGAGCCUUGAGGAAGGCCAAGCAGCUCAGCUCUGCCGUUUCUCCCCCUCCUCGAGACUACACUCAGGAAUCAAAGGCCAUGCGGUCAUCAUGCAAAAACCAUGCCGUCACCCUGGAAAGACCAUGUUGUCAUCCUGCAAAGGCCUUGUUGUCAUCCUGCAAAGGCCAUACCAUCACCCUGCAGAGGCCACUGGAUGUCCUGAGGACAAAGGUUUGGGGGAAAUUCCCCACAGCUGCUGUCUAAGGACUAUCACUUCCCAGUGGGUUCCCAUCUGUGCCUCUCCAGGUUCUGGCAAGAAGCUUUAGAAACACCUUUCCUGUGGACAGGCUCCACAGGAUUCUUUCUGAAGGAUGACUUUCCUGACCGAGUGAAACAAAUCUGACAUAAAACAUUCCUGA